AUAAUGAAUAACAUUUUAAAAUAAAUAACGUAACAGUAUCAUGUUUAUUGGACAAACAACGUUAAUAAGUUAUAAAGAUCGAAUUGAACUAAAACUAACUUGUUUAUACUUUUAGAUCAAGAGCUCAGACGAUGUUCUGAACAACACUUGGCUAAAGUUGACACAUCUUAAUUAUAUAUGUAUAUAUAUACAUGUGUAAAGAAAAAAAAACACAUUAUUCAUAUAUAAGAAGGACGAGUGGACUUUGGCUUAAUUGUGUUUCAUACCUAUUACAAGACAACGUACUAUUAUUAGUCCUAUAUACAUAACUUAGCGCAAAUCUAAGAUGUACGUGUGAGAAGUUUAUUCGGAUAUUUCCUAGUUUUUUUUUUUAUAACACAAUAAGUAUAGAUUAUGUGGUGCAUAUUGUCGUACAGAAGAAGAUUCAAGAUGGUAGUCUUCAGCUAAUUUAAACAUUCUAAGAUCUCGGCAGCUAAAUUUUGCUUUUGUUUAAUUAUUAACAAGUUUAUAUUAUUUUCAGUCUCGGUAAAGGUCAUAGGAUGAAGGCGGCAAUAGCUAGUAUCAAGUUGAGAAUUGCUAGAAGUAGCCAGAAAACAACAGAAUAAAAUAUCUAUAAUCGACUGUAUUGUUCUACUGUUCUAAAUCUAAUCCAAUAAAAAUGAAUCUAUCAGACGCAUUCUGCUGCAGUAUUCUGGUGGAGCAUAUUAUCAGCAAUGAUCGUCCAACUUAGCAGGUUCGGUGUCACAGUAGGGAUGUAAAGGUUGGCGGUAAAAUGACGGUAAGAAGCCGUUUGUUCAGAGCAGGCGCAUCUUGGAAAGCCUGGCCGUAACAGUGACAGUGACAGAGCCGUCGUAGCGUCCGCUAGUGCUCAGGAGCCAGUCGGUCCUAUUCGGGCUUCUGAUUAGGCAGUAGAAGAGGGCACAUAUAAAGGUGCAGCGACAACAGCGAUAAUGGUGAUAGUCGUAAAUGCCUACUAUAUCGCCUGCGGUAGCCUCUCUGCACGACAGCGUCGCCACGCCCUUGUUAGCAUAGCACGAAGUACCUUGUCGACAAUCGAGCAUUGAUCCGCGUCUGCACUACGGCAGCUUUACAUUGCUUCAUGGCGUCACAAACGACUCGCAUCUAAGCAACGCGAAGCUAGAGUAUGACGUGGUUGAAGGUUGCUUCCCAAUCACAGACCGCAGCAGUGUCAACAAUGGCUGGAGGUGUUGUUGGUAGUGAAGACGACGAAAGGAACAGUAGCUAACGAGCGUUAACGAAGCAACGCCAAUAGCCGCGUUCGGCCCGGCGUCCUGACAUAGGCUUACGGAAGAACAAGCUUGAUUUAAAUUCGUCCGUUCUAUUGUCUAUUAUGCUAUAAGAGUCGUUGUUUUGACAAUUUGUGCCGACAACUUUCAUUUGCAGGGAAAAGGAUCUAUGUGGAAGGCGAACAGCAAAAGAAAAAAAAUGAAAUAAAGAAAAAACCAUCGACUCUUUUGGUUCACGGAAAUGUUCGAACUUCGACGGCACGGGAGAUGCUGAUUAAACAACGUCAAUACGUUCUACUGCGAAGUUAAGAAACUUCAUUUCCGCACGAUGCUAUUGCUUUGUAUAAGCCAUACUGUUAAGAAGUAGUCCUCUGCUUGUUAUAGGCCUCCUUCGGUGCUCUGCGAGCGUGUAGAUCGUUGGUUGACCAAAGAAAUCAGGCUAAUAAAAUCAUAUUUUCUAAAAAUCAUUAGAGAGUACGAGAAGAGGGUUAUCGAAAAAUAUUUAAUUAAAAAAAAAGGCAAAAAGCUAACUCAUUCUGAAAUUUUCUGUCGCCAUACCUAACUAUACCUGCAUAGGAAGUUCAUACACAACUAUAAGGAUCCAAGUAUCCUAAAUAAUUUGACUUAAGCCAGCAAGAAAAGACGGUGUCUCAUUUUUUUCCUAACCUUGCUAUAAAUAAUGAUAUUUUCUUAUAAGCAGCCUGAAUUAACAAUUAAUUUUGAAUUCAGCUUCAGUUAAAUUCAGCUACGUUCAGUUAUGGUGAGCUAGCAACAAUUCAUGGUAAAAUCAUUGCUCUCAGGUGGCUUUGCUUAAAUAUGAUUUUGAGUAGGAAAAUUUAAUUUCGAUUCUCGUCCUGCCAUAAAUGGCAAUGUUUCUUCAGAAGUUACGGGUAAUCGUCAGAUGGAUUAAAUUCGAAAUUUAUUAUAAUAACAAUACGUUCAGUUUAUUCGGCUUAAACAUAAUAAACUAAUAUAGAGCGUAGUAAGGCUGUAACAGAGGAUCUCCGGUUGAUCCCGUUCUCUGCUUGGGUCUGCCUAGCAGACUGUCUGUGGGUAUCUCUCAUUUUGGUUUUGAAACCUUAGCAUUCAUUCGCCUUUAUGAACUGACUUUCGAUUAUUUGCAAAAUGAACAGCUCUCCAUUGGCCUGCACGUCCUUUAUUGUCAGUCCGUCCGUCUUGUGGCACACUGAUAUCUGUCACAGCACCAAACAGCAAUAGUUGUCUGUAAACUAUAGACGUCAGACAUAGAUAAUGCUGGGGUCCUGUAGUAAGUCAAGGCUUUCCGGUGACCAUCUCAGACAAGUAAACAGCUUGUGGCGUUUGCUUUUGCAAAUCGUGCUGAACCUCGCUAACUGCAAGCAACGAAUGGACGUCAUCGUCAAGAAGUCUAGCAGCGACUGAGCAAUAAGGUUGAUUGCCCCCCGCCCCGCCCCGCCCACUUGGGCUUACCAUCACCGCAACUCGUAUAAUGUCAGUGCAUCAUACACGUUUGGCAUUGCGAACUAUAUAGAAUAUUUGAAUCACACUUUGAAAUCCUAAGAUUUUGUUUACCGGAUAAUUAGUUGCUAUAUUAUCGUUACCACUUGUGGCGUCAAUUUACGGUUAUCAUAAUCCGAUUUGUCUGGAAAAGUUCUUUUUGUUGGCUUGAUCUGAUAUAAAUUCUAUUCUAACAUGUUUGUCUUCAUGAGCAAAAUGCAUCAAUGGCAUAAUUUCUAUGUACCAUUUUGUGCACUAAAAAGAGCGACAUAUAUUUGACCCUUAAAACUUUGUAUUGUCUAAUUUCUGAACAACACAUCAGCCCUUAAGAAUAAGGAAUAUCCUAUUAAUUGAACAGCAAGUAUUUUCAGCUGUGAAUCGUAGAUUCGCCGUUUUUAUCGAGCGAUACUCGGCGUUAGAAUUCGAUCCAAUGCCGAGCCUGUUUCGACGACGGCGAUUUAUCCUUACGUGACCUUGUGAACAGACUCAACAUGCUGGCCUUGGCCUUUAGCCUACACAGUAGCAUCGGCUGGUGACUCUACAGUAUAGCAGCAUUAAUACAAAUGAUUGUAGCUCACAAUAGUAAGUUGGAAUCAGCUAGAUUACCCUAUUAUAAAUAAUGAGAUAUAUGCCAACUAUUAUUUUUUGCCAAUGGUUCGACAUCGCUACUUCUUUUUAUUAUUGCUAGUUCUGUUCACAGUAUCGUUGACGGGAAUCAGACGGAUCGGAUAUAUAUAGUCAAAUAACAAUUGAAGAAACAGAUUAGCCAAAUAGGUCCCUUCUUAUAGACAGCUAGAAAUGUUACGGUAGUAGAUGUCAUUUUUUGUUAUUUUAAAAUUUGCAUUGUAGGCAACAAUCUAAUUUUGUUCCCAUGCAAAUAGCGGCAAAAAAUGUUCCUCGAGGCAAGGCGAAGUUCCCCAUUAGCUUCAAUUGUCCCGCUAAGAUGAAGACGCGUAUGCACAAGUGCUCGCGUUGUGAAAUUUGCACAGUAAAAUAAAGCCAACGAUAUUGUGCGGUUUAGCUAACAUGCAACCAAUACAUUUUUGCCUCAGAGCUUCCCGAACACGGCAAUAUUUGUUGAACAUGGCUGUAUCAAUGAUAACGCAGCGUACCGGGGGAGUCUCUACCGGUCGUCUUGAUCCCCCUUAAAGGUGACCUCAUUGAGGAAUAAAAUAAAGAAAGCGGAUAUUCCGUUGAGAAUAAAUUAUGAGUUAAGACGCCACUCGAACAUUGUGCUAAGUCACCAAACCACUGAGAAUUAUAGGGUAUGGCUGACACGAUGCAAUCCAUCCUUUCAUGCGCCGCGAAACGUCUUUAUUUUGCCUCGAUCUGCGUCCAGUUGGUCCUUUUUUGUAGACAUGUCAUCAAGGUUUGAGGUGCCAGCAUCGCCGCAGUGCGCAUCUGUAAGUACUUAAGCCAUUGUCCGAAUGACGGUUUUGAAGAUAUACAAAUUAACCGGGAGACAGUAAGUAUAAAAUAAAUUAUUCCCAGCAGUCUGCGUGUGUCCGUCACUAUACGUAUUGAAACGUCAACAACCUAUUUGAAGAACCUUUUCUCCUCAAUCAGGCAAUCCACACCGUGUAGUCUUUUUCUCAAAAGACAUUCAUGCUGCCGCACAAAAUCUACGCUAUUGAUUUACGCAUAUCACUUUCGACAGAUACUAACUGAUGACGUAUUUGUCGGCAAUGUACGC